rnacentral:tRNA from 1 species
GCCCCGUUGGCUCAGUAGUAAAGCGUAUCACUAGUAAUGAUAAGAUCACUGGUUCGAUUCCAGUACGGGGCA